rnacentral:misc_RNA from 1 species
AGAAUAUCGAGAGAAAUCACCUGGUCAGCCUAGAAAAAGAAAAUCUAUUUCAGGAUCCCCAAUUAGCAGUACUAGACUUCUACGUUCGAAGUCGAAGGAGAAGUCUGGAGCUUCUGAGGCAAAAAAUACUGUGGUAACUCAUGAUGCUACCGAGGAAAAGAAAAGAAAAAGGAGAAAGAAAAAACACAGUAAACAUAUAGCUGCGAACGAAUUCACAAGAAUCAGGGGCCAUCUGAGAUACUUAUUACAAAGAAUAAAAUAUGAGCAAACCUUGAUUGAAGCUUACUCUGGUGAAGGCUGGAAAGGACAAAGCUUAGAAAAGAUAAAGCUGGAGAAGGAGCUACAACGAGCGAAGACUCAUAUUUUUCGUUACAAAUUGAAAAUAAGAGAUUUGUUUCAACGCCUUGAUACAUUACUUGCUGAAGGGAGGCUUCCA